rnacentral:tRNA from 1 species
GGAGGGUUGCGCUGAAUGGCUAAGGCACCGGUUUUGAAAACCGGCGGGCGAAAGCCCUUAGAGGUUCGAGUCCUCUACCCUCCG